GUUGUAUGGUUAAGUGACUAAGCGUACACGGUGGAUGCCUUGGCAGUCAGAGGCGAUGAAGGACGUAUUAACUUGCGAUAAGCCCAGAUUAGGCAGUAAAAGCCACUUGAGUCUGGGAUUUCCGAAUGGGGAAACCCAACUGCAUAAGCAGUUACUGUUAACUGAAUACAUAGGUUAACAGGGCGAACCGGGGGAACUGAAACAUCUAAGUACCCCGAGGAAAAGAAAUCAACCGAGAUUCCGAAAGUAGCGGCGAGCGAAAUUGGACUAGCCCUUAAGCUUUACACGCGUUAGACGAACGGUCUGGAAAGUCCGACGAUACAGGGUGAUAGUCCCGUAGUUGACGACGUGUGUUCAGUGAAAUCGAGUAGGGCGGGACACGUGAUAUCCUGUCUGAAUAUGGGGGGACCAUCCUCCAAGGCUAAAUACUACUGACUGACCGAUAGUGAACCAGUACCGUGAGGGAAAGGCGAAAAGAACCCCUGUGAGGGGAGUGAAAUAGAACCUGAAACCGUGUACGUACAAGCAGUAGGAGCAGGCUUUGUCCUGUGACUGCGUACCUUUUGUAUAAUGGGUCAGCGACUUAUAUUCAGUGGCAAGGUUAACCAUCUAGGGGAGCCGUAGGGAAACCGAGUCUUAACUGGGCGUUCAGUCUCUGGAUAUAGACCCGAAACCAGGUGAUCUAGCCAUGGGCAGGUUGAAGGUUGAGUAACAUCAACUGGAGGACCGAACCGACUAAUGUUGAAAAAUUAGCGGAUGACUUGUGGCUAGGGGUGAAAGGCCAAUCAAACCUGGAGAUAGCUGGUUCUCCCCGAAAGCUAUUUAGGUAGCGCCUCGGACGAAUACUACUGGGGGUAGAGCACUGUUAAGGCUAGGGGGUCAUCCCGACUUACCAACCCUUUGCAAACUCCGAAUACCAGUAAGUACUAUCCGGGAGACACACGGCGGGUGCUAACGUCCGUCGUGGAGAGGGAAACAACCCAGACCGCCAGCUAAGGUCCCAAAUUACUACUAAGUGGGAAACGAUGUGGGAAGGCUCAGACAGCCAGGAUGUUGGCUUAGAAGCAGCCAUCAUUUAAAGAAAGCGUAAUAGCUCACUGGUCGAGUCGGCCUGCGCGGAAGAUGUAACGGGGCUAAGUAGUAAACCGAAGCUGCGGCAAUGUGCUUUUGCACAUUGGGUAGGGGAGCGUUCUGUAAGCGGUUGAAGGUGUGUGGUAACGCAUGCUGGACGUAUCAGAAGUGCGAAUGCUGACAUGAGUAACGAUAAAGGGGGUGAAAAACCUCCUCGCCGGAAGACCAAGGGUUCCUGUCCAACGUUAAUCGGGGCAGGGUAAGUCGACCCCUAAGGCGAGGCCGAAAGGCGUAGUCGAUGGGAAACGGGUUAAUAUUCCCGUACUUCUUACAAUUGCGAUGGGGGGACGGAGAAGGCUAGGUGGGCCUGGCGACGGUUGUCCAGGUUCAAGUGCGUAGGCUUGAGAGUUAGGUAAAUCCGGCUCUUUUUAAGGCUGAGACACGACGUCGAGCACCUACGGGUGUGAAGUCAUUGAUGCCAUGCUUCCAGGAAAAGCCUCUAAGCUUCAGAUUGUAAGGAAUC
rnacentral:rRNA from 1 species